UGGACGUUUAAAUCUUUGAAGCGUAGGGUUUAGGUUAUGAUUUAUCGAUAGCGCUCUCAUCGCCCUCUCCCCUUCCCAAACAUUCGAAUCAUUUUCUCCCAAAUCUCCCUAGGGUUAGGGUUUUCUCUGUUUCUUUCGCGUGAUUUUCGUUUGCAGGUACUCGAGGAGACGCAAACAACCCACUAUGGCGAGGUACCGAAGCCGGAGCAGAAGUUACAGCCCUCGUCGGCGUAGCCGAACCCCACCACGAGGGCGGAAGCGGUACGACGACGACCCUAGAGACCGGUACCGCGAAAGCAGGUCUCAUAGGGACCGUCGCUCUCCUGCUCCUUCUGGGUUACUCGUGCGUAAUCUCCCCCUUGAUGCUAGGCCAGAAGAUCUUAGGAUCCCGUUCGAGCGUUUUGGUCCUGUUAAGGAUGUGUAUCUUCCGAAAAACUACUACACUGGGGAGCCCCGAGGGUUUGGGUUUGUGAAGUUUCGGUUUGCAGAAGAUGCAGCUGAAGCAAAACAACAACUGAAUCAUACGGUUAUAGGUGGACGGGAGAUACGAAUUGUAUUUGCUGAGGAGAACAGGAAAACUCCACAAGAAAUGCGUGUGACUUCACGCUCAAGUGGCAGAAGCAGCAGAAGACGUUCUCCAGCAAGGUCUCCGCGACGGCGAUAUCAUUCUUACUCACGCUCACCUUCACCUGCCAGGCAUGACUCAAGGUUGGAUCUUAUCUGUCAUACUUAUUCUACUACUAGCAAGACUAAAAUCAUUAUUGUCCUGCUGUUUCCAUUACUCCUUACUUCUAUACCAUGUUUUGAAAUAUUGGUUGGUCCUAUUAUGAUGAUAAGUAAACUGUGCAUGCCUUCUUCUAACUCUAUAAUUUUGUACUUUAACAUGUCAAAGCAUUCUUUUAGGAUGAGAAACAUUGCAUAAUAUUUUGAAUUUUGGCACUUGUCUUAGAGUAUUCAAACCUCCAAUUGAAGUACAUGUUCAUUGUUUUGAUUUUCAGUCUAACCAAAAUGAUUUUGUCCGUCAUUGGGUGAAAAUCAUUUUUAUAGAAAUAUUUCGAUAAACUCAGCUUACUUCGAUUUACCCAACCUGAACCUCAUGAGUUCUGUUUUGUUCAAAAAACUUCUUGAAGUUGUCAAUGGUGUGUCAGUUUUAAGAAGCACGAUCCAUUUCUAAUGGAUGAAUUAUCCUUGUUCCUAUGUCAUGCGGUGAUGUGUUUAGUCAGUAAAUCUAAGUGGUACUUUGCUGUGGUUUCAAUUGCUGACUAAAUAUUAGUGUUAUAGUCCAAUAAUAAUAGUUGCACUUUUAAUCUUCAUUUCCCCAUCAGGUAUAUAAUAUCAGCCCAAUAUAUUAAAUCUAAGCAACACUUUCAUUUUUUUUUAUGUUCUCCAUGCUUUAAAUGUAGAAUUUUAUUUCAUUUGCUUGAAUGUUAUCAUGGUUAACCAAAAAGAUUUAAAUUUAAUAUUUGAUUUGAUGCACGUGAAAUAUUCUACUCCCUACAUAGUACAGAGUUGCAUUGCAGGACAAAGUGUACAAUCUACUUAAUUCCUUGUUUAUGCAGAUAUUAAAGUGUAAGGGGAGACUUUAAAGACUUGUUGAUUAAUAAAGUUUAACAAGAAAAGCGAUCAUAAAGUGAUGGGCACUUGCUUACUUUACCUAUCGAACCCUCUCCAUGAGUAUAAUCUAUUACCUUUUCAAUUAUCUUAGUUGCAUGUUUUUUAUUUGUUUGUUGACAAUUUUCUUGUGAGCAGAAGUUAAGGAUUGGUGAGAGUUUAAAAACAAAAUUUAUCUCUGGUUUUUUGCCCCCUUUUUCCUCCCUUUCAAAUCUCAACGAUUUAUCAGCAAGAAAGUGAUUUGUAAGUUUGAUAUCUUCUUUUGCAUAUACCGUCCAGUUAAGAAAGAUUAGAGCUUAUAGUUGGCCAAAGAAAGAAAUCAUCUUCAAAGGAGAAAAAGCCAAAGUUUUACUGGUUGUGGUAUGGUGACAUUGUCCAAGAAAAGAUAAUGUGAUUUUUAGAAAGUUGGGGCAAAGAGAGCUAUGAACUUGUCAGAAGCUGAUCAACCAGUACAGCUUAAUAGAGCAUAAUUCUCAGUGUUUGGAUCUACUUGUCAUAAUUUUGUUCGGAAACCUGAAAAUGGUGCAGGAGCCGUGGGGCCAGGGAUGAGUAUCUCUCUCCUGCACGAUCUAGAUCAAUUUCACGUUCUCAUUCCCCUCGUGAUAGAAGGGAUUACAGCCGAUCUCCAACUCCAAAGGAGAAUGGUCGGAGCCCUCGUGCAGUG